GACGAACGCUGGCGGCGUGCCUAAUACAUGCAAGUCGAACGAAGCUGUUUUAACUGGUGCUUGCACCGACUUAAACAACUGAGUGGCGAACGGGUGAGUAACACGUGGGUAACCUGCCCCAAAGCGGGGGAUAACAUUUGGAAACAGAUGCUAAUACCGCAUAACCACAGAAACCACAGGGUUUCUGUAUCAAAGAUGGUUUCGGCUAUCACUUUGGGAUGGACUCGCGGCGUAUUAGCUAGUUGGUAAGGUAAUGGCUUACCAAGUAAAUGAUACGUAGACGAACUGAGAGGUUGAUCGGCCACAUUGGGACUGAGACACGGCCCCAACUCCUACGGGAGGCAGCAGUAGGGAAUCUUCCACAAUGGGCGAAAGCCUGAUGGAGCAACACCGCGUGAGUGAAGAAGGGUUUCGGCUCGUAAAACUCUGUUGUUAAAGAAGAACGUAUCUAAGAGUAACUGCUUAGGUAGUGACGGUAUUUAACCAGAAAGCCACGGCUAACUACGUGCCAGCAGCCGCGGUAA
rnacentral:rRNA from 1 species